rnacentral:rRNA from 1 species
UACGAGGGGUCCAAGCGUUAAUCGGAAUUACUGGGCGUAAAGCGUACGCAGGCGGUUUGUUAAGCGAGAUGUGAAAGCCCCGGGCUCAACCUGGGAACUGCAUUUCGAACUGGCAGACUAGAGUCUUGUAGAGGGGGGUAGAAUUUCAGGUGUAGCGGUGAAAUGCGUAGAGAUCUGAAGGAAUACCGGUGGCGAAGGCGGCCCCCUGGACAAAGACUGACGCUCAUGUACGAAAGCGUGGGGAGCAAACAGG